GAGUAUUGCAUAGUUCUAGAGAUUGCAUUUCACUCAAAACCCACCAAUUGAUUCCUCCCACCAUAUUAUGGUGUUCCCCAAGUUUUGUACUCAGUCCGAUAUCGAUUGGUGCAUGAAAUUGGACAAUUUAGGUUCGUACGAAGUUCGAUAUGAAAUGGAGUGGUUGGUGUAUUGCAUAGUUCUGGAGAUUGGAUUCCACUCAAAACCCACCAGAUGACUCCUCCCACCAUAUUAUGAUGUUCCCCAAGUUUUAGACUCAAUGUGAUAUCGAUUGGUCCAUGAAAUUUGACAAUUCAGGUUCGGACGAUGUUCGUUAUGAAAUGGAGUGGUUGGUGUAUUUCAUAGUUCUAGAGAUUGGAUUUCACUCAAAACCCAACAAAUGACUACUCCCACC
rnacentral:lncRNA from 1 species